rnacentral:rRNA from 1 species
UACAGGGGGUGCAAACGUUGCUCGGAAUCAUUGGGCGUAAAGCGCACGUAGGCGGUUACUUAAGUCGGAUGUGAAAGCCCUUGGCUCAACUGAGGAAGUGCAUCCGAAACUGAGUAGCUAGAGUACGAAAGAGGGUCGCGGAAUUCCCGGUGUAGAGGUGAAAUUCGUAGAUAUCGGGAGGAACACCGGUGGCGAAGGCGGCGACCUGGGUCGAGACUGACGCUGAGGUGCGAAAGCGUGGGGAGCAAACAGG